rnacentral:rRNA from 1 species
GAUGAACGCUGGCGGCGUGCCUAAUACAUGCAAGUCGAACGCUGAAGGAAGGAGCUUGCUCUUUCCGGGUGAGUUGCGCACGGGUGAGUAACGCGUAGGUAACCUGCCUGGUAGCGGGGGAUCACUAUUGGAAACGAUAGCUAAUACCGCAUAACAGUAGAUGUUGCAUGAUAUCUACUUAAAAGGUGCAAUUGCACCACUACCAGAUGGACCUGCGUUGUAUUAGCUAGUUGGUGAGGUAACGGCGCACCAAGGCGACGUUACAUAGCCGACCUGAGAGGGUGAGCGGCCACACUGGGACGGAGACCCGGCCCAGACGGCUUCGGGAGGCAGCAGUAGGGAAUCUUCAGGAAGGGGCGGAAGUCUGACCGAGCAACGCCGCGGGCGGGAAGAAGGGUGUCGGGUCCGAAAGCACGGUUGUAAGGGAAGAACGAGUGUGAGAGUGGAAAGUUCACACUGUGACGGUAACUGAUCAGAAAGCGACGGCUAACUACGUG